GCUGGCAUCCCCCGGAAACAGCUCCUGUUAGCCUUGGAGCCGGAGGCGGCCUCCAUUUACUGUAAUUAUGUCCCUCUGGGCGUAAUGUCAUACGGCCAAGGGAAAACUGGAUCCGCCAGAUUCGAACCAGGAACCCAGUAUAUGGUCCUGGACUUGGGAGGGGGAACAGCCGACAUUACAGUCCAUGAAGUGCUACCCAACCUGAAACUGCGGGAGGUUCACCACGCCACAGGAGGGGCCUGGGGAGGGACCAAGGUGGACGACGCCUUCUACCAAUUCCUGGUCAAGAUCUUCGGGAACGAUACGCUGACAACGUUAAAGCAAGAGAACAUGGAUGACUAUAUCGCGCUGUUCCGCGACUUUGAAACAAAGAAACGCACGAUUAAACCCGAUAUGACGGACAAAGUCACUGUCACAUUGCCAUUACGCCUGAUGGAAAUCUACAAGAACGAAAUGGAUGAAACAGUGGAAGAGGCAUUGCCGAACUCAACAUACGCAAGAACAGUUGAAUACAUUGCAGGCAAAUUAAGAAUUCAGCCACAAGUUUUCAAGGAUUUUUUCAACGAAACGUUGCAAGGAAUUAUUCAGCACAUAACAAAUAUCAUGAAAUCGUUUUCAGGAGAUUCUUUGUCGAGAAUACUUCUUGUGGGUGGAUUUUCGGAGUCGCCGAUGGUUCUGAAGGCAAUAAGAGAAUUAUUUCCAAACAAAAAAGUAAUCGCUCCUGCCGAUCCCGGCUUGGCUGUGUUAAAAGGUGCGGUUUUAUUUGGUCAUGAUCCAACCGCUAUUUCUUCAAGAAUCAGUCGAUAUUCCAUAGGAUUUGAAGUGAAUGUGCCUUUCAUCGAGGGCUUGCAUCCUAAUAAAUACAAGGUAAAGACACCAGGCGGAGAGAAAAAAUGCCAACAUGUUUUUGAAGCCUUGGUGCAGAAAGGUGAGGAAGUUCCUAUUGGCCACAAAAUCGAAAACUGCUAUUCACCAAGCGAAGAAGAUGCAAUAACGGGGAUUGCUGUUUACCAAUCCGAUUCCAAAAACCCCACUUACACAACCGAGAAAAACUGCAAAAAACUUGGCAGCAUCAAGCUUCGUCGACCGAAUGGAGGGUGGACGGAUGACGCCCAAAUUCACGCGGUAGUGGAGUUCGGGGGCACGCAGUUCCACGUGGCACUUACAGACGACUGUCUAGAUGAAACGUACAGGGAUUCCUUCAAUUUCCUGAAGGACUAACGCCUCGGAUAGCGCUAUUGAAUAGGAUGAUGCAUUCUAUGUCAUCAGCUAAUUUCGUCAAAUCAUGUUCAUAUAGUUUUAAAAGUAGAUUGUAUUUUCAUGACUGAUAAUCUAAUAAGUUUGUGUUAUAUACGUGUACAUGUUCGUUUUAACAUACAUCUACUUUGCUACACACGUUGACUGUUAAUGCAAUAUUGCCUUAGACGUGUAAAUAGUUUGCAUACUAUAAACGGUAUAAAAUAAAAUUUAUACACAUGG
rnacentral:misc_RNA from 1 species